ensembl:lncRNA
CUACUGCCCCCCUCAGCCUUCCACAUGGGCUGUCUGUAUAGAAGGAUUUGGGGGCAGGAGAGAAAGCAACCUGUAACCUACAGCUUUAAAGGCUGGAAGUGCUAUCAUUUGCACCUUUUACAGUGGUAAAAAAAUAAUGGGCUGGAUUCAACAUCUACAAGACCCUGGGCCCCCAGGCAGCUGCUAUUAGCUAUGAGACUAAAAGAACGCCAAGUUUCAGAGAGCAUAUUUGUUGUUUCAAAAAUGCAACAUUCUCCGACUUUCUGGGGGCUGGACCCGAUGAUCUUCCAAAGUCCCGUCCGGCCUUACAAUCUAUGAAGAAAUCUGAACAAGAUUGAUGUCUUCAUACCAAGGACUUGAAGUGGCGUUCUGCUACUUGGAAGCUCUGGUGAGUCAUCAGUCUUCUGUGAAUGUACAGAAGUUCAGGUUGCUACAAAACAAAAACUGAAGCAAAUUUUUGACUAUUUUCUCCUAAGCACAAACUCUGGGAGCUACAUCUCAUGAAAACUGCAAUAUAA